AACAAGGUUUCCGUAGGUGAACCUGCGGAAGGAUCAUUACCACACCUC
rnacentral:rRNA from 1 species